rnacentral:misc_RNA from 1 species
AAGAACUGGUUAUUGUUUUUAUACUAAUGUUAGUGGUAGCUUAGCUCAUUAAUUUCUUGCAGUACAGUUGCUCUAUGUCAGUCGCUAAUUGUGCUUUCCAGCUGAGCUGAUUGUACUCAACAUUGCAUAGUUAAUCAAUUGAUGAUUAGUUGGUUGAUUACGAAGCUCAACUAGAACAAAAUCAUAUUCCUAGCACAGAAAGAAUAUCUUCACCUGGAAAUGCAUAAAAAAAUGCUCAAG